UAUUCCUGUGACGGUUUAUUAAUAAAUGUAAUGUAUCCAUGACAGUAAUUUAAUUUUACUCUGAAACCUUGUAAUAAAUGUUUGAACUGUAGAGCAUUUAUGUCGAAGUGUUUUAGCCUGACUAAAUGUUUAGAGGAGAGGCUGAGCUGUGCUUCUCCUGCUGGCACUGUAAUUUAGCAGCGUAUAUUCAGAAGUAAAUGGUUUUCAGAUUAGAACAUCCUCUUAUGAUGAAACCAUCCAGAGGGGUGAACAUUAAUGAGACUGUUAGAACAGUAUGAUGCAGUUGAAGGACAGAUGGGUGGAGAAAUGCACAAAAUGAACAUGCAGCCCAGGUGGAAACUGAACUGCAUGACUGAUUUGCUAGGACAAUAUGACUUCUGCAUAAUUUCUGUCUUGUAGGCUGAAAACUAACGCGUGCAAAUAAACAGGGGUAUUGGCUUUAAAGCACAGAGCUCCCAACAACAGUUCCCAAAUUGUGGAACCAAACCAGUUACUGAAGUUCAGUACUGUGAAAUCUUCAGUUUACACUCUAUUUUAAGAGGCGGUUGUGCAUUGUCUUUCUAAUGCUGUAACAGAAGGUGGAUUGUGGGUUACCCCACUUCUGAGCCCCUGAGGAAUUUGUGGUUUUAAAGCAUUCAUAACUAAAAUGAAAGCAGAAAAUGAGAAAAUUUUGGAAACAGAAAGUGAACGUGGAGUUCUGAUGUUUUAAAAGUUUUAGGAAAACUGAUAGAUGUGUGGCAUACUAAAUCUUGAGAAUUCAGUUGCGUAUGACUGCACUAGUGCAAUGUCUUAAUUUAGAAGGUGGAGGGCAGUAUUGAACUCAGAGCUAACUUAUUUUGUUAAACCACUUAAUAGAUAUGCAAACUGAAAAGUCUGCAAUUUGUGUUGUGUAGGUUAAAAAGUGGUGACUUUGAGGACUGAGCAAAGAAAAUACGGUUUCACUUGAUUAAGAGUUCUGUUUUAAUAGGAAGAAUGGCAGAUCUCUGUAUAGAUGGUGUAAAAGACUAUACGUCUAUUAUAAAGUAUAUAAUCUGUUCAGGUUUAUGUCCUUUUAGAAACUGAAAGAAUUCAACAAAGGGGAAAGGAAGCAUCUGAACUGAAGGAAAAACACAAAAAUCUUCUCUGUAUUUCUUGCCAGCAAACACUUCGGUCCAACUUUUUUCGUCUUUUUUCAUACAUCCACAUUGUACCAACUGCAUGGGAGGAGUCUGCAGAAUGCAGUUAAAUGCCAGACCGAGACUUUGAUGCAGUCCCAAAAAGAUGGAAACAGUGUAGAGGUUGUCUCCAGUGCUUUGCUAUGGAUUGCAAGAAUUAAUUCUGUGUGUUCUCAAAGUUGGGGGAACAGUUUUAUGUAUAUGACUGUAUACAUUAGCUAUUCUUUUGAGACACAAGCAUUCUUCACUUGAUUUGUUGACAACCUUCUAUCAAAGGUUCACAUGAUUUGAAGUCAUCUUGUGAGAUCCUGGGGAGAGUGAUGACAAUGCAGGGAUGUUCUCUGAAUGUGGCGUUGAUGUGCAUCUCUGGGACCUAUAUCUGUGUGUAUGCAGAUGCAUGCUCACAUGCACUGCAUUACUAAAAAUGAUAAUAAAAAUAUAUGAUUAAAAAAAAGACAGAAUUUACAGUUUCAGUGUUAGAAUGGCAUCCUGCCAUAUUUAAUUCCUACAUGGGUCAUGUGAGAAGGGCUUCCACUAAGCUGCUCCACUCAAAAGCUGUAGUCCACUUUGUUAAUGAUAUAAGUACCUAUGUGGAAGACAGCCAUUAAAAAUGUCCAACUCAGGAAGAGCCUCUAGAUAAAGCUCUGCAUCUCUAAGCACAGUCAGAGGAGCACCAGAUUAAAAACAAACAAACAAAAAAAGACCCAAAGUCAGACUUGCUCAUUUCUCACAUGCAAAGAAAUUAUUUGUUCUAGCAAACUUCCUUUGCCUUUGGUGGGUUUCUGAGGUGUGGUACCAUAGUACUUGAUUGGAAUUUAAAAAGUGUUACAAGUAUGUGUAUGCUUGAAAGUCAGUGUUUGUGUUCACAGCAAUUAAAAUCCUUUUGAAAAUCUCAAGCAUGUGAUUCUGCAUUUGAGAGGAAUGUGUGUAUGUGUUUACUGUAUUUUCCACCGAAAUGUGAUUCUGCAUCCCAAUAAAACAAAGCAAAACCAAAAAAAAAU